GCCAACGUGGCGUAAAGGUUAGCAUGUCCGCCUAUAAUGCCGAACGCCUGGGUUCAAAUCCCGGCGUGAACA
rnacentral:tRNA from 1 species